GGCGAGUUACCCAAGUGGUUUAAGGGGACGGUUUGCUAAACCGUUAGCGGGUCACACCGGCACGGGUUCGAAUCCCGUACUCGCCGC
rnacentral:tRNA from 1 species